rnacentral:misc_RNA from 1 species
AAAUACGUUUUUUUCCAAGAAAUACGAAAUGAUCCGAUAAACUUAUCUUAUUAAUAGCCAUUUUUAUGACGAAACAAUAUUUUUAUAAACCGCAAAACUAUUAAAACCGGAGACGAUAAUGACAGACGAUAAACAUUAAUGAUGGCGCCAGCAUCGUUACUGGUGACGUCACGGCGAGGUUGAAAAGAUCGGCUGCCACCCGUACUUCAUCCAUGUCACUAACUGCUACCCGUUUUUACUUAAUAAGAGAAGGAUACAGUUAAAAACGAAGCUCGGAAGAUAAUGCAUUAUCAUUGUAAUGUAUGUUAAAAAGAUGUUUUUGUUAUAAAUUCAUAAAAUCCGAUUUAUUCUGGAUGUAAAAUGGUUGAUGGAUCUGUCUAUCAUUUGUUUGGUUAACAUCAUCCUUGUUCUACUUGGCUUCAGUCAAAGUCAUAAAUGCGGUUAUCCGGGAGUACCAUUUCAUGGUAACAUUAGACAACAGAAAGAUUCGUAUGAUGUGGGUCAAAAAGUUACUUAUUUCUGUGAUGAUAACUACUACUUAAUCGGUUAUUCCACACGUAAAUGCCAAGAAAAUGGAACUUGGUCAGGAGUUGUGCCUGUCUGUGAUAGUUCAUUAUCUUUGCUCAAUGCUGUGGCCACAGCAUCAUCUCCAAUGAUUAAUUAUCCACCAAGUUUUGCUAUUGAUAAGCACAAAGGAACAUGUACUUAUGUUAGUCCAAAACGUCCCAGAUGGUGGCGGCUUGACUUAGGUGAUACUUACCAGAUAAAUUCUGUUGCAGUAACUAUUCCUCAAAUUUGGAAUGAUAAACCAAAUCAACAUCUUUUUACUAUAUAUGUAGUAAGUGUUGAUAAUGGAGCAGCUACAUUUCAUCCUUGUUCCCCUUUUCGUGGCACUCUAGCAACUCAAACCUUAAAGUUAUCUUGUAGUCAAAAUAAUGGAAUUGCUGGUCAAUAUAUCCAUAUUGAAGACAGAAGACAAGUUCCUGAAUAUUUUGGUCUGUGUGAAGUAGAAAUAUUUGUAACAAGGAGCCAAGUACAAUGUGGAGCUCCUGAAAGACCAUAUCAGUCUUAUAUUGUGGAAGUAGAUAAAAAUACUGUUGAAUAUCAGUGCACCUUUGGUUAUAGCCUCAGAGGUCCCAAAAGACGACAGUGUUUGAGUGGGCAAUGGUCAGAUAUUCAACCUAUAUGUGAAGAAAUUGUGUGUGAUGUAUUAGAACCAAUUGAAAAUGGAAAAGUUCGCUUCAAACAAAUUGGUAAAAAGUUGAUUCCUGGUACAGUUGCAACAUAUAGUUGUGAUGAUGGUUAUGAACUAUCUGGGAAUGACACCAGAAAUUGUCUGCAGAAUGGAACUUGGACGGAAGCUAAUCCAAUAUGCCUACCGGUCAACUGUGGACCUCCUCCAAACAUUCACGGAGGUUCUUAUCGUCUCCAGAAUGGUACUGUUGCCGGUAGCAUUGCAGAACUGCAGUGCAACAAAGGCUAUAAGCCUACUGGAAAAUCUGUUUAUAUUUGGUGCCAAGAGACUGCUCGGUGGUCAAUAAAAAAUGCAAUUUGUUCUCAACAGACAUCAUCAGGAUUAAUAGGACUUAAAUCUAGACAGUCUAAAGAUGAAACCCCCAAUACCCAAGAUAACGAAGGAAUAUCAUCAGAAGCAGCAUGCAGUCUGUGGACAAAAUUUCAACACUUCCUCUGCUUAAAACUAGCUAUGACCAAAAUGCAAUCUGAUAUUGGCACAGUAAGGAUUAAUUAAGGUUAUUUUAAAUGAGAAUUUUUUGUUUACAGCGGGAUUCGUAAUCGGUAUCGUUGUCGUAGUGGUAUUCCUCAUUCUUUGCUUAAUAACAGUUUAUAUAUUGAGAAGGAAAGGUGUUUUGCAUUUGGGCCAGUUUGCCAAAACUACUUCGAACUUACCAGUUGUCGUGGAAAAUUACAAG